rnacentral:rRNA from 1 species
UGGGGAAUAUUGGACAAUGGGCGAAAGCCUGAUCCAGCCAUGUCGCGUGUGUGAAGAAGGUCUUCGGAUUGUAAAGCACUUUAAGUUGGGAGGAAGGGCAUUAACCUAAUACGUUAGUGUUUUGACGUUACCGACAGAAUAAGCACCGGCUAACUCUGUGCCAGCAGCCGCGGUAAUACAGAGGGUGCAAGCGUUAAUCGGAAUUACUGGGCGUAAAGCGCGCGUAGGUGGUUUGUUAAGUUGGAUGUGAAAUCCCCGGGCUCAACCUGGGAACUGCAUUCAAAACUGACUGACUAGAGUAUGGUAGAGGGUGGUGGAAUUUCCUGUGUAGCGGUGAAAUGCGUAGAUAUAGGAAGGAACACCAGUGGCGAAGGCGACCACCUGGACUAAUACUGACACUGAGGUGCGAAAGCGUGGGGAGCAAACA